GCUAGCGUAGCUUAAACCAAAGCAUAACGCUGAAGAUGUUAAGAUGAAUCUCAACAAGGUUCCGCAAGCA
rnacentral:tRNA from 1 species